AUGAGAAGAUGAGCCAACUUCUGGUCCGUGUUUCUGAUAUACUAUGACGCUAUUAAGAAGUUCUGAUCAC